AGUUUGAUCAUGGCUCAGGACGAACGCUGGCGGCGUGCCUAACACAUGCAAGUCGUACGCGAAAAGGGCUUCGGCCCCUAGUAGCGUGGCAAACGGGUGAGUAACACGUGGGUGACCUGCCUUCGAGUGGGGGAUAACGUCCCGAAAGGGACGCUAAUACCGCAUGACAUCCUGCCUUUGGAAAGGUGGAGAUCAAAGCCGGGGAUCGCAAGACCUGGCGCUUGAAGAGGGGCCCGCGCCUGAUUAGUUAGUUGGUGGGGUAAUGGCCUACCAAGGCGACGAUCCGUAGCUGGUCUGAGAGGACGAUCAGCCACACUGGGACUGAGACACGGCCCAGACUCCUACGGGAGGCAGCAGUGGGGAAUCUUGCGCAAUGGGCGAAAGCCUGACGCAGCGACGCCGCGUGGGGGAAGAAGGCCUUCGGGUUGUAAACCUCUUUCAGCAGGGACGAAGCCACUCGGGUGAAUAGCCCAGAGGGUGACGGUACCUGCAGAAGAAGCCCCGGCUAACUACGUGCCAGCCGCCGCGGUAAUUC
rnacentral:rRNA from 1 species